rnacentral:rRNA from 1 species
AUGGAAUCAUUUCCGCCGAAUGUGACGUUCAUAAGAGAUUUAAUUGGACCCAGACUACAAUCGUGGAACAUUCUGCUUCAGCGGUUAUCCACGGUGCAAUUGUCACAUGGGUCUGAUGUAUUCCGAUGGAACCUCCAUGGGAAUGGACAAUUCUCAGCGGAGUCUAUGUAUAGAGCGUUAAUCCAGUCUGAUGUGCCAGUUGAUAAUAACAAAAAGAUGUGGAAGAUGAAGAUACCACUUAAGAAUAAAAUAUUUGCGUGGUAUCUUCGUCGCGGAGUCAUUCUUACUAAAGAUAACCUUAUUAAGAGGAAUUGGCAUGGAAGUCCGCAAUGUGUCUUUUGUCAUCAUGAGGAGACAAUAAAACAUUUAUUCUUCCAAUGCAAAUUAGCUCGUUCUAUAUGGUAA